GAUGAACGCUAGCGGCAGGCCUAACACAUGCAAGUCGAGGGGCAGCAUAAAACAAGCUUGCUUGUUUGGUGGCGACCGGCGCACGGGUGCGUAACGCGUAUGCAACCUACCCUGUACUGGGGGAUAGCCCGGAGAAAUUCGGAUUAAGACCCCAUAGUACUUUUGAAUGGCAUCAUUUAAAAGUUAAAGGUUACGGUACAGGAUGGGCAUGCGUCCCAUUAGCUAGAUGGUAAGGUAACGGCUUACCACGGCAACGAUGGGUAGGGGGCCUGAGAGGGUGGUCCCCCACACUGGUACUGAGACACGGACCAGACUCCUACGGGAGGCAGCAGUGAGGAAUAUUGGUCAAUGGGCGCAAGCCUGAACCAGCCAUGCCGCGUGCAGGAAGACGGUCCUAUGGAUUGUAAACUGCUUUUAUUGGGAAUAAACCUAUUUACGUGUAGAUAGCUGAAGGUACCAAAUGAAUAAGCACCGGCUAACUCCGUG
rnacentral:rRNA from 1 species